rnacentral:tRNA from 1 species
GCAUUGGUGGUUCAGUGGUAUAAUUCUCGACUUCUGUUCAGGAUAUGCUGGUUCGAUUCCAGGCCAGUGUA